ACGCAAGUCAUUGAGCGAUUAAAACUCAAAGGCGAAAUGAAAGUAAAGAGUUAAACUUGAUUGUUUUUCUCAAGGGAAGAUGAAUAUGGAUAUUAAGUUUAUUUUAAUAGAAAUAUUCCGCAUUCCCAGGGCGUUUGAUACUCAUUGAGUAUGUGCGCACCUAGAGCGUACACGAUGAUACCCGAAAGAUGGUGAACUAUGCCUGGCCAGGACGAAGCCAGGGGAAACCCUGGUGGAGGUCCGCAGCGAUUCUGACGUGCAAAUCGAUCGUCAGAGCUGGGUAUAGGGGCGAAAGACCAAUCGAACCAUCUAGUAGCUGGUUCCCUCUGAAGUUUCCCUCAGGAUAGCUUGCGCUCAUCCGAGUCUCAUUCGGUAGAGCGAAUGAUUAGAGGCAUUGGGGUCGAAACGACCUCAACCUAUUCUCAAACUCCAAAUAAAUGAGAGCCCCGGCUUUCUUAAAAUUGAAGCCGUGGGAAUAGGAUCUGAGUGCAAAGUG
rnacentral:rRNA from 1 species